rnacentral:rRNA from 1 species
GAUGAACGCUAGCGGCAGGCCUAACACAUGCAAGUCGAGGGGCAGCACAUAAAGUGGUUUACUACUUUUGGUGGCGACCGGCGGACGGGUGCGUAACGCGUAUGCAACCUGCCUCCAACAGGGGGAUAACGGAGAGAAAUUUCCACUAAUACCCCAUAAUAUCAGAAUCGGAAUCGGUUUUGGUUGAAAACUCCGGUGGUUGGACAUGGGCAUGCGUUGUAUUAGAUAGUUGGUGAGGUAACGGCUCACCAAGUCAACGAUACAUAGGGGGACUGAGAGGUUAGCCCCCCACACUGGUACUAAGACACGGACCAGACUCCUACGGGAGGCAGCAGUGAGGAAUAUUGGUCAAUGGGGGCAACCCUGAACCAGCCGUGCCGCGUGCAGGAAGACGGCUCUAUGAGUUGUAAACUGCUUUUACAAGGGGAUAAAUCGGUGUACGUGUACACCGUUGAAGGUACCUUGGGAAUAGGGAUCGGCUAACUCCGUGCCAGCAGCCGCAGUAA